rnacentral:rRNA from 1 species
UGAACGCUGGCGGCAUGCCUUACACAUGCAAGUCGACCGGCAGCACGGGUGCUUGCACCUGGUGGCGAGUGGCGAACGGGUGAGUAAUACAUCGGAACAUGUCCUGUAGUGGGGGAUAGCCCGGCGAAAGCCGGAUUAAUACCGCAUACGAUCUACGGAUGAAAGCGGGGGACCUUCGGGCCUCGCGCUAUAGGGUUGGCCGAUGGCGGAUUAGCUAGUUGGUGGGGUAAAGGCCUACCAAGGCGACGAUCAGUAGCUGGUCUGAGAGGACGACCAGCCACACUGGGACUGAGACACGGCCCAGACUCCUACGGGAGGCAGCAGUGGGGAAUUUUGGACAAUGGGCGAAAGCCUGAUCCAGCAAUGCCGCGUGUGUGAAGAAGGCCUUCGGGUUGUAAAGCACUUUUGUCCGGAAAGAAAUCCUUGGCUCUAAUACAGUCGGGGGAUGACGGUACCGGAAGAAUAAGCACCGGCUAACUACGUG